ACAGUUGAAUUUGCAUCCUCAAAAAUCGUAGGUUCGCAGCCUUCGUUACUUUUGGUCAUUCGGGGGGGCCCACAUGUCAUUGUAAAUUAAAUUACACACUCUGGCUCACUGUGUUACUGUAUGUAUAAAUUUAUUUUGCUUUUACGCUACAAAAAUUAUUUACAGGUAUCUCUAUAAAUAUUGUUUCAUAAGAAAAUGAAAUAUUUUAUUUAAUAUUUUUAUUUUAUUCUAA
rnacentral:lncRNA from 1 species